rnacentral:lncRNA from 15 species
AUGAGGAGGAUCUGCCACAGUAAAACAGACUGGGGGGACAUAAAACUGAAAGGGACUGUCAUGCACCACCCAGUCCAACAGGACAGCAGCAGUUGUGGUGUCAUAGUCACUAUGAACCGAUCAGAUCGAUCAGAACCUGCUGAAGACCUUUCAGUGUGGAUGGCAGCGGUCCAGAGGACCAGAGGCUGGGGUGCAGGACCUGAGGCCAGUGGAGCCAGGGAAUCAGACUGCAGCUCAACGGGAACAGGUGUCGGCCGCCGACGAGGAACCAGGAGCACAAGAGGAGGACAACUACAAAAUAAAACAGGAACUACAGGCAGUCCACAGAUGAUCCAACAGGAUGUAAAGAGUUCUGGUCCUGCUGCUGCUGUAUGAUCCGCUCCACUUUCUGUGGAGUCCCAGUGGGUCUCUAACCAACCUAUCCAGUCACCUGACCUGUGGGCCUUGCUGCUGUGGAGAGGUUGUAGCACUGAGGGUGGAGCUACCUGGUUCAGAGGAGGGCAGCUGGUGACUGAAUGAGGAAGUGGUGAAGCUGAAGGCGUCACUCUGCUGCUGACACUGACUGACAGUCCACAUCCAGACAACAUGAAGGCUUCAUCUGUGUCUCUGCUGCUGACACCGACUGACAGUCCACAUCCAGACAACAUGAAGGCUUCAUCUGUGUCUCUGCUGCUCGGUGAGUCCAACAGCUUCUACACUCAUCCAUCAUCACAGCUCACACACACUGCACACUCUCAGGAUCAGCUCUCAUUGAUCCAGGAUCCAUACUGACAGUAAUAACCAUACACAGGUUCUAACACUCCCAUUUAUUGAUAACAGUACACUGGAUCUGUAUGGAUUAUUGAUCAGUAUACACUGUAUCUUUAUAGAUUAAUGAUCAGUAUACACUGUAUCUGUAUGGAUUAUUGAUCAGAAUACACUGUAUAUGUAUGGAUGAUAUUGAUCAGAAUACACUGUAUCUUUAUGGAUUAUAUUGAUCAGUAUACACUGUAUCUUUAUGGAUGAUAUUGAUCAGUAUACACUGUAUCUUUAUGGAUGAUAUUGAUCAGAAUACACUGUAUCUUUAUGGAUGAUAUUGAUCAGUAUACACUGUAUCUUUAUGGGUGAUAUUGAUCAGUAUACACUGUAUCUUUAUGGGUGAUAUUGAUCAGUAUUAGGGAUCGACCGAUAUGGAUUUUUUAGGGCCGAUACCGAUACGGACUGCCAAUUUUCAAGAGCCGAUACUAUAUUUGCUCCCUCAAUUUACAUCAUCACAUCAAAAUUACACAAUGAUGAUAACAAGGUUGCAGCGAGAUUUCAUUUUUGUCUCAAAUCGUAGGCAUCUCUCCUUGAUCCGCUAGCUGCCUGCCCCCUGAAUACACUGUGAAAAAACC